rnacentral:lncRNA from 1 species
UUAGUUUCUUCCUCGUGUAAAACAAAAGGCUGUGUGUUUUCCAAGUCUAGUCUCCAUCUAUGGAGCACAGCAAAAGGAAAGCUGGGGCCAGGCAGAGCUGGGGGUUGAAUCCCAUCCUCACACUCUUGGGUGAGCGGUGACCUCUCGGAUCUUCUGUUUCCCCAUCGUUUGCUUAGUGAGAAGAUGAAAUAUACCCUGAUGAAGCCAUCCAUCUGAGGGACUUUCUGCAAAGGGAGAACCAUGGCCAGUACCGGGACAAGACACUCAGGCUUGAACUCACGACCUUCAUGCAUGCUAGCUCCAGGGCAGCUACCACAUUUCAGAAGGAUACAUUCUGGGGAUCAGAGCAGGGCUGGAGCUGCUGAGUAAGACGCUGGGGAAGAUACAAGGAGAAGAAGACACUGUGGCUGCAUCCCCACGUCUGCGGACUGGUCAGCUUAAUCACUAAAGCCAUUGACAAGCAUGCACAGAGAACCUUCUAAAAGGACAAAUGGCAAAUGAGUACAGAGGAAUGUCCUCUGGACACCCAUCCAUCUGUCACAUGACAGUGGGCUUCUUAAACACUGGAAC